GACGAACGCUGGCGGCGUGCUUAACACAUGCAAGUCGAACGGACAGGCCCUGCUUUUGUGGGGUGCUCGAGUGGCGAACGGGUGAGUAACACGUGAGUAACCUGCCCUUGACUUUGGGAUAACUUCAGGAAACUGGGGCUAAUACCGGAUAGGAGCUCCUGCUGCAUGGUGGGGGUUGGAAAGUUUCGGCGGUUGGGGAUGGACUCGCGGCUUAUCAGCUUGUUGGUGGGGUAGUGGCUUACCAAGGCUUUGACGGGUAGCCGGCCUGAGAGGGUGACCGGCCACAUUGGGACUAAGAUACGGCGCAGACUCCUACGGGAGGCAGCAGUGGGGAAUAUUGCACAAUGGGCGGAAGCCUGAUGCAGCAACGCCGCGUGCGGGAUGACGGCCUUCGGGUUGUAAACCGCUUUCGCCUGUGACGAAGCGUGAGUGACGGUAAUGGGUAAAGAAGCACCGGCUAACUACGUG
rnacentral:rRNA from 1 species